GACAGAGGGUGCAAACGUUGUUCGGAAUUACUGGGCGUAAAGCGCGUGUAGGCUGCUUGGAAAGUCGGAUGUGAAAGCCCUGGGCUCAACCUAGGAAGUGCAUUCGAAACUUCUGAGCUGGAGUGCUGGAGAGGAAGGCGGAAUUCCAGGUGUAGCGGUGAAAUGCGUAGAUAUCUGGAGGAACACCGGUGGCGAAGGCGGCAUCCUGGACCGGUAUUGACGCUGAUGCGCGAAAGCCAGGGGAGCAAACGGG
rnacentral:rRNA from 1 species